AAAGCGCCUGACUCUAUGAGUGUCACUUUUGCUCGUCUCAGUGCGAAGCUGGGACCCCAAAGCAAUCGGACUGCAAUCGUUAACGACUUUGUUCUGCUUUAGACCGGGGAGCGUCGCUUUACUGUACGCACCGGCAUCCGAGAGAGCCCAGCGGACGCUGGGCGGCUACGUGGUCCACCGAGCCAGGUGCACCCGAAACCAGCAGAACGUGUUUCGCAACCUGACAAACACGCCGCACUGCGCCCCCAGCUUUGUUCUGGGAGCAGUUUGCACGCCGUGGUUACGAAGCCCUCUAACGCUGGUGUCGAGCUAGGUGUGGCGUCGGUCACAUCGCUUGCACUGCCUCACCGUUCCAGUAGAGCGUGCUCCUUCGAGAAGUCUGCCAGCGGAGCGUACCCUCGAACACGCUUUGGAGUGAUACGGCUGUGUUUGCCGCUGCCGCUGCGCUCAUGACUCCGAAUUAUCUGUGCGCACGGCAUGGAAAAGAUGCAGAUGACUGAGUGUCAGUAGGACGCGUAAAUGUGUGUUGUGGCUUUUGGAACUGGGAGGAGUAGUGCGCACUGCUGAACGCUUCCCCGGAUGGGGGCAGCAGUCGCGCAAGCAUGUCUCCCUGAUUAGUGCAAAGGAUGCAGCAGUUCUUGGGAAAGUUGCGUACAUCGCAAACACAAAUGUAAGCGCAAGUUGCGUCGCCGUUGAUGAGUGCAACCGCAUCGGGCGCUGACCCGUCUCCUACUGACGUCGGCGAGGUUCCCGUUGGAGUUAUAGAUGGCCAGUGCGCAGUUCCCAUGCUGGAUUUGGCCUGCGAAAUCCAUGGGAAUAACGACAAGCGCUUUACAACCGGUGUCAGCGUAGAAUCGAAUGCUGAACUGCUGGCUCUGUCCGCGCCUCGCGAUUAUUUUCCGAAAUAUUUGAAGGUGUACAGCCUCUGCAUUGGACAUGCAGCAAUCAGGGCCCAUGGAUGCUGACGUGGAUUAGGAUUCGCGGUCAUCGUUUCACAGCGGCUCCUUCAACACUUUGCUGCUGGAAUUCGAUACGCGGUACCGGAAUCAAGAUGAUUACCGAUAUGGUCCAACAAGGGCGUCCCUGGAAUCAACGAUCCCGUUACUUAAUGGAUACGCGGUACCGGAAUCAAGAUGAUUAUCGAUAUGGUCCAACAAGGGCGUCCCUGAAAGCAUCGAUCCCGUUACUUAAUGGAUACGCACAAGCCUGUACGCUUCUCCUCAACGUAUGAGUACCAUGCUCGAAUAAAG